rnacentral:rRNA from 1 species
GACGAACGCUGGCGGCGUGUUUAACACAUGCAAGUCGAACGGAAAGGCCCUGCUUUUGUGGGGUGCUCGAGUGGCGAACGGGUGAGUAACACGUGAGUAACCUGCCCUUGACUUUGGGAUAACUUCAGGAAACUGGGGCUAAUACCGGAUAGGAGCUCCUGCUGCAUGGUGGGGGUUGGAAAGUUUCGGCGGUUGGGGAUGGACUCGCGGCUUAUCAGCUUGUUGGUGGGGUAGUGGCUUACCAAGGCUUUGACGGGUAGCCGGCCUGAGAGGGUGACCGGCCACAUUGGGACUGAGAUACGGCCCAGACUCCUACGGGAGGCAGCAGUGGGGAAUAUUGCACAAUGGGCGGAAGCCUGAUGCAGCAACGCCGCGUGCGGGAUGAAGGCCUUCGGGUUGUAAACCGCUUUCGCCUGUGACGAAGCGUGAGUGACGGUAAUGGGUAAAGAAGCACCGGCUAACUACGUG